UACAGAGGUGGCAAGCGUUGUUCGGAAUUACUGGGCGUAAAGGGCGCGUAGGCGGCCAUCUAAGUCAGACGUGAAAUCCCCCGGCUUAACCUGGGAACUGCGUCUGAUACUGGAAGGCUUGAGUAUGGGAGAGGGAUGUAGAAUUCCAGGUGUAGCGGUGAAAUGCGUAGAUAUCUGGAGGAAUACCGGUGGCGAAGGCGGCAUCCUGGACCAUUACUGACGCUGAGGCACGAAAGCUAGGGGAGCAAACGGG
rnacentral:rRNA from 1 species